rnacentral:lncRNA from 1 species
AUGGCGGCGGCUUCGUGUGGGUGUAGGAGCCAAUAUGGGGGCCCUGGGCCCUCAAGCUGCACAUUGGACUUCCCAGCUCCAGAACUCAGGCCCCGUUCAGGACACUUAGGCUCCACGUGGGCUGCCAGUGAGGCUGGGCCGUGGCUCCUUCUCCAGGUGGCAUCGCCCUGCUCCAAACCCACAAGUGCAGAGCAGACCAGCAGGUCCCAGCGAGAAGGCUGCUGUCCCCAGGGCCAGCCCUGCCCCCGAGGCCUCAGGGGUUGGCUCUGGGCUCACCAGACGCCCCGGCCUGCAAGGAGAGGACCCCGUCGAUUAAAAUACCAUCAUCUGUGAGAAGCAUUGGGUUGAAGGUGCCAACACAUUCACCUUGAAGGAUCAUUAUAAGCAACUCUGAAGGUUACAGGGAAUCUGAUGGAAAUCAGACCUAAAAAUAAUUAGGCCUUGUUAAACACACACACACACACACACACUGUGCAGAGAAAAACCAGGACAAAUGGACAGAUGGGGCUCAAAGACGUGGCGCGAUGGAGAAUCCACAUUCUGCACACGUUGUGUUUGCACGUCUGGGUAAUCAAAGCAUGGGACCGACCGGCUUGCUUUUCCAAUGUAUCUUACCAUGCACUCGUGUAAUUUGGAUAAACGAUUUCAGAAAUAGUUGUACUGUCUUUAAAAAGGUUUUGAAUAUAGGGGCACCUGGGGGGUUCAGUUGGUUGAGCGUCCGACUCCUAGUUUCCCCUCGGGUCAUAAUCUCAGUGUCACGGGAUCGAGCC